GGUGGCUCAGUGGUAGAGUGCUUGCCUUGCAUGCAUGAGGCCUGGGUUCAAUUCUUAAGUACCA
rnacentral:tRNA from 1 species